AUUGAACGCUGGCGGCAGGCCUAACACAUGCAAGUCGAACGAGUGGCGGACGGGUGAGUAAUGUCUGGGAAACUGCCUGAUGGAGGGGGAUAACUACUGGAAACGGUAGCUAAUACCGCAUACCAUCGGAUGUGCCCAGAUGGGAUUAGCUAGUAGGUGGGGUAAAGGCUCACCUAGGCGACGAUCCCUAGCUGGUCUGCGAGGGUGACCAGCCACACUGGAACUGAGACACGGUCCAGACUCCUACGGGAGGCAGCAGUGGGGAAUAUUGCACAAUGGGCGCAAGCCUGAUGCAGCCAUGCCGCGUGUAUGAAGAAGGCCUUCGGGUUGUAAAGUACUUUCAGUGGGGAGGCGUUACCCGCAGAAGAAGCACCGGCUAACUCCGUGCCAGCAGCCGCGGUAAUUC
rnacentral:rRNA from 1 species